CCUCAGCCAACUGAGUAGCUGGGACCACAGGCACACCCCACUAUGCCCGGCUAAUUUUUUUUUUUUUUUUUUUUUCCCGAGACGGAGUCUCACUCUGUCACCCAGGCUGGAGUGCAGUGGCGUGAUCUAGGCUCACUGCAACCUCCGCCUCCGUGGUGAAAGUGAUUCUCCUCCCUCAGCUCCCCGAGUAGCUGGGACUACAGGCGCCCGCCACCACGCCCGGCUAAUUUUUGUAUUUUUAGUAGAGAUGGGGUUUCACCAUGUUGGCCAGGCUGGUCUCGAUCUCUUGACCUUGUGACCCGGCUGCCUCGACCUCCUUAAGUGCGGGGAUUACAGGCGUGGGCCACCGCGCCCGGCCGGGACAGGCUUUUUUCACUCAGCGUAAUUCUCUGGAGUCAUCAGGAGUUUGAAAACUCCCCGUGGGACCCAGGUUGACCUACCUACCAGCACCCCAUUUUUUCAUAGAUUGAGAACCAGCGCCUCAGUGUCCCCAUCUGUAUAGUGGGAGAGAAAAGGUCCCUGCUCCCGGGGCCUUGCCAAGGUGCAAGGAAGCUUUAUGACGUCACACACAGUUACCACGGGCAACAGCCAAUCCUGCUGGCCCCAGAGGUAGCCGCCCUUGGUCCCGCCCACGCCUUGCUUGCUUGCUGGUGAUUGGAGGACGCAUGAUGUCACGUGCUCCCAUAGACCAAUGAGGAGGUGGUCUGGAGGC
rnacentral:lncRNA from 10 species